GUAAUAUCCGGUGUUGGAGGUGGAGCCUGGUGGGAGGUGAUUGGAUCAUGCGGGCAGAUUUCUCAUGAAUGGUUUAGCAGCAUCCCCUUUGUCCUGCCCUUGGAACAAUGAGUUAUCUGUCAGAUCUGGUAGUUAAAGAGUGUGUGGCACCUCCCCCUCGCUCUCUUCCUCCUGCUACUGCCAUGUGAGAUACCUGCCCCUACUUUGCCUUCUUCCAUGAUUGGAAGCUUCCUGAGGCCACCCCAGAGUCAGAAGCCGCUAUGCUUCCUGGACAGCUUGCAGAACCCUCCUCCAUUAACCCCUGCAGAGUAUUCACUGACUGCUGAAACUAGAGCAUCACUGAGAAGCAAGAGAUAGACUGACCUAACUAGAGGGAGAGCUGCCAUCCAGGAUGAUGCCACCAUCACAGGAGGUGAGAAGGAACACAGCAUCUUCUGCAAAUGCUACAGUAAAUAGGGACGGGGUGCAGCAAUGUGAGGAAAGUGGAAUGAACUUGGACUUUGAAGGCAAACUAACCUGGAAUCAAAUACUGGCUCUGCUGUUUGCAAGUGUGAUCUUUGGGUAUGCUUCCUAAUCUGUGAGCUUCAACUUCCUCCUCUGUAAACCAAGAUCAAAGACAAACAGGGAAACCUACUUGUCUGGUGCCCAUCCCCUUGGCAGAACACUCCUCUGAAGGAUGACAGUUUGGCUGUGCCAGGGCAGAGCUGCCGACACCAAAUGAGCCUUCAUAGCAACUAUCUGAUGAGGAACUCACUGGCCUACCUUUCCUUGACAGCUGGGGCCUGCCAGCCUUGAAGCAUGACUCCACAACGCCCCUACCCAAGGCCAUGGAGGUUGCUGCUGAUGAGCAAGCUGUUUUAUAUUUAAUCCAGGUUUCUGCUUGGAGAGGAAGAAGGUAGAGGAGCCAGCGAAGGUUUGUCUGAAUGAUACUUGCAGAAAAAACACUGGUAACAGUCACAAAACUUUGAAAAUUAAAGUGCCAGCGAGGUGGCUUUUGGUGGCCAGAUGAAAGCUGUUAACCCCAGCUUUUACAAAUGCUGGGCUUUGAGUAAGAGGAGAGUGUCUUUCUGGAAAAGUUUGAGACCUCUUACUAUUGUAGCAGCAAAAGCAUCCACGGCUAGUGUUUUCCAAGCUCACUGCUACUUGUUGCAGUCUAGCAGUGUUGUGUCUCCUGAAAUUCCUACCUUUCUUGAUGGAUGUAAAAGAAGUACCAAUUUAUUAAGCUCCUAGUAUGUGCCAGAUGCUCCAUAUAUGUUACUUUUGAUCUUCAGAACCACUCAGCAACUUACUGCUUCUCCUCACUCCCAAUUACAUAGAUGAUGAAAUUGAAGCAGAGUAGUUUGUCUAGGAUUACAGAGCUAGGAGGGACCAGAGUUGGGAUUCUCCCUCAGUUCUAAUACACAGUAUGCUACAUUUCCUGUCGAGUAGUAACAAAGCUUCUAAGAAAUCUGAGUUUUCAUUUGUUAAAACUGAAUUUUUAAGAAAUGUAGACAGGAGCACUAAGUACUCUAUAGUUUAACGUUAAUAAUGGUACAAGUAUAUAACCAGUUUCUCAUGCACUGGCAUAACAUACUUCAGAGGGUACACCAGGGCUGGAUGAAUAUCUGAACCCAAAAAUAUCUGAGACAGGUCUCAGUUAACUUAGAAAGUUUAUUUUUCCAAUUUUGAGGACAUGCACCCAUGACACAGCCUCAGGUGGUCCUGACGACAUGUGCCCAAGGUAGUUAGGGCAAAGCUUUUUUUUAUACACUUUAGAGAGACAGGAGAUAUCAAUCAAUAUAUGUAAGAUGUACAUUGGUUAUGUCCAGAAAGACAGGACAACUAAAGCAGGGAGGGGGCUUCCAGGUCUUAUGUAGGUGAGAGAUAAAUGGUUGCAUUCCUUUGAGUUUCUGACUAGCUUUUCCAAAGGAGGCAAUCAAAUAUGCAUUUAUCUCAGUGAGCAGAGGGGUGACUUUGAAUAGAAUGGGAGGCAGGUUUGCCCUAAACAGUUCCCAGCUUGACUUUUCCGUUUAGCUUAGUGAUGUUGGGGCCCUGAGAUUUAUUUUCCUUUCACACUUCUUCCAUUUUCUUUUUAAAAAUCUUUUGAAGAAAGCAUUUUAGAAGAAAAUGAGUCUCUGCUCUCAUGGCUAGGAUAGUUUAUUCCUACAGGGGUAGGUCCCAAGUUAUUAGGAAAGCUCAUUUUUAGCAGAUUGAGAAGUCUCAUGUCCUGUGAAGAGACAAUAGUAGGAGGAAGGGAGAAAAACAACAAACAAGAGAACAAUCCUAGAAAAUCUAUAUAGACCACAUUACUUUGAAGUCCAUACAUCAGUAGGUAGGUAUGAAAGUGGCUUAUGUACCUAAAUAGUUUGCUUUUAUUUUCUUCUGAAGUUUAAGUUGUCUAGAUUCAGUUUGCAGGACUUUAGAAAGUACAGCUUAGUUUUCAAUUAUUUCGAAUUAGGAAAAAUGGGGUGAGGGGAAGGAAAAGAAGGAAAAAAAUUGAAAACAUUAUUUUGGAGACUUGUAGCCAGGAAAAAUUAGAAUUCAGUCUAAACUGUAGAAAAUAAUAAAAAUAGAAAAACAUUAGGCAAGACUAAAAUCUAACAACAGGUGCACUAUAGUUUUUGAAACGUAUUUUUUCUCUCUCCAGUUUCCCAUUUUCACUAAAAACAAAUCAUAGAAGAACCAAUUUGCUUUAUUAUACUUGGCCAGAUUAUUUGUAUGAAGUGAAGCAAGAAUAAUUAUUUUUCACAUAGGCUUUUAAAAUUAGCUUUGAUGGACUUCUUCCAUAGAAGGAAUCUCACAUAAGCCUUUUUUAAAGCCAAGCCCAGCCACAGAUUUGUACCAUCAAAUACCUAUGAGUUGGGUGAAUUAUUCUCCUUUUGAGUUCCAACAUAACUUAGGGCUCUUGGGCCUGUCAGAAAGUGACAUUCUUUACUUACCACAGGUCAGGAACACCGUUCAGGGACUGUGCAGACAAGGUAUGAGGCCAGUUUCCCCAAGGGGUUUUUAUUGGCUCUAUAAAUCAAGUUUAAUACCUUAAAGGAAAGCACACCAUUCCAGCCAAAGACUCAGUAAAAUAACCAGUUUCUCCAAUUGUGUCCUGUUACAAAUAAAAACAGAUUCUUAUUUCACUUAUGCAAAUAAC
ensembl:lncRNA KILH KRT19 interacting long noncoding RNA in hepatocellular carcinoma